CUCUUCACCGGCCCACUCGUACACGUCCUGGAAGAUG
rnacentral:sRNA from 1 species